rnacentral:rRNA from 1 species
CAGCCGCCGCGGUAAUACGAAGGGGGCUAGCGUCGUUCGGAUUUACUGGGCGUAAAGCGCACGUAGGCGGAUCGAUCAGUCAGGGGUGAAAUCCCAGAGCUCAACUCUGGAACUGCCUUUGAUACUGUCGAUCUGGAGUAUGGAAGAGGUGAGUGGAAUUCCGAGUGUAGAGGUGAAAUUCGUAGAUAUUCGGAGGAACACCAGUGGCGAAGGCGGCUCACUGGUCCAUUACUGACGCUGAGGUGCGAAAGCGUGGGGAGCAAACAGGAUUAGAUACCCCCGUAGUCCCUGUCUCUUAUAC